rnacentral:lncRNA from 1 species
GAACCCGCCUGCAGAGGCAGCAGCCACAGGAGACUGCGGGGUUCGGUCCCCGGGUGGGAAAGAUUUGCCUGGAGAAGGAAACAGCAACCCACUCCAGUGUUCCUGCCUAGGCGAUUCCGUGGACGGAGGAGCCAGGUGGGCUACGGUCUGGAUUCGCAGUUUCUGGGUGAAUCGGGGCCAGUGAGGUGAUCUCAGGGCCUCACGGGGGCCCCCCAGCGGCUGGAACCCUCCCCGACGCAGCCCCGUCUCCGUCCCCUAGUCGUGCCUGGCCACCUUCAGCGCUCAUCUGUGCGCCGGUGAGUUUUCCUGGAGUUUGCACCAGGAGACUGCGUUCAAAGCAUCUCCCCGCCAAGUGGUCGCACCUGCAAUGCAGGAGCCGCAGGAGACCCGGGUUCCAUCCCUGGGUCGGGGAGAUCCCCUGGAGACAGGCAUGGCAACCCACUCCUAUUCUUGCCUGGAGAAUCUCCAUGGACAGAGGGGCCUGGCGGGCUGCCGUCCGUGGGGUCGCAAAGAGUCGGACACCACUGACUGAGCGCGCUCGCACGCCCUGCCUGUCUGAAGCUUUUCCUGUCUCCUCGGCGCCCCUCACCCCCGAAAGAGGAGGACACACGCAGCCCUCCUUCGCAGGCUCUCACCCUCGUAAAGUCCUUCCCCGGCGGCGCCCCGGGUUCCAGACAACGCGCGUAAGUCAGACACUGGACGCACCUGGAAAGGCCGAUGAUGCCCGUCAGCAGUGUGGACGCAGCCCGGGGCUGAAUCCGAACGCGCGGCAGCUGUGCGUCAGACCGAGCCUGGCGUCAGGAAGCCUCCGUCCCGCCGCCCCCGAAGGAGCCCGGGGUGGGUGUCAGGGCGCGACCCGGACGCCCGCAUCGCCGCCGUGUGGGGCGCGCACAUUGCGCGCGGGCUUUGCACGCUCGGCAGAUACAGAGCCUCGAAAGGUACCCCCUCCCCGGCUCCGGGCUGCCGCCGUGGAGACCCAGGGCUCACCCUGGACUCCUUACCUUAUGGGACAGCUCCAUUAAGGCUGCAGGUGUCUCCGACUCUGACUCCAACUCCAACUGGACUCACUUGCCUCCUUCCUACUCCAGAGUGUCCCUUCCGCUGUUGGUUUCCUCUGGCCACCUCACCCAGUGGCCAGAGCCUGGGACCUCAGGCUCCCUCAUAUCCCCGUAAUCCAACCGGACACCCCUUGAUCAAGC